UACAGAGGUCCCAAGCGUUGUUCGGAUUCACUGGGCGUAAAGGGUGCGUAGGCGGUUUGGUAAGUCUGAUGUGAAAUCUAUGGGCUCAACUCAUAGUCUGCAUCGGAAACUGCCGGGCUUGAGUGUGGGAGAGGUGAGUGGAAUUCCUGGUGUAGCGGUGAAAUGCGUAGAUAUCAGGAGGAACACCUGUGGCGAAAGCGGCUCACUGGACCAUAACUGACGCUGAUGCACGAAAGCUAGGGGAGCAAACAGG
rnacentral:rRNA from 1 species